rnacentral:tRNA from 1 species
GGACGAUUAACUCAGUUGGUAGAGUGGCAGCCUGUUAAGUUGUGUGUCACUGGUUCGAAUCCAGUAUCGUCCGCCA